rnacentral:rRNA from 1 species
GAUGAACGCUAGCUACAGGCUUAACACAUGCAAGUCGAGGGGUAACAAGAGGAAAGCUUGCUUUUCUUGUUGACGACCGGCGCACGGGUGAGUAACGCGUAUCCAACCUGCCUAUAACUAGGGAAUAACCUUGCGAAAGUAAGACUAAUACCCUAUGAUUUCCUUUGAUGACAUCAGAUUAGGAAUAAAGAUUUAUCGGUUAUAGAUGGGGAUGCGUCUGAUUAGCUUGUUGGCGGGGUAACGGCCCACCAAGGCAAUGAUCAGUAGGGGUUCUGAGAGGAAGGUCCCCCACAUUGGAACUGAGACACGGUCCAAACUCCUACGGGAGGCAGCAGUGAGGGAUAUUGGUCAAUGGGCGGAAGCCUGAACCAGCCAAGUAGCGUGCAGGAUGACGGCCCUAUGGGUUGUAAACUGCUUUUAUACAGGAAUAAAGUUAGCCACGUGUGGUUAUUUGUAGGUACUGUAUGAAUAAGGACCGGCUAAUUCCGUGCCAGCAGCCGCAGUAA